GAGUAGAGAUUUAGAGAGUAGAGAUUAGAGAGAGUGUAGAGAUUAUGAGAGAGAGAGAUCAAGGCAAUUAAUGCCAAUAUUCACUAAGAUUGCCAAAUCUUCUAUAAGAUUAGCAAAAUCCUCUCAAAUCUUUCAAGAUAAUUCUCUCUCUCACUCCACCCCAAAUUUUCGAUCACCACCUUCUCCCUCCCUUCAUCUCUCUACUUUCCACCAUUGACAACCAUUAACAAGACCUUCGGAGCUUCACAAAAUCACACCAAAAACACAAAUCACCCUCUAAAUCUUACACUAAACACUUCCACCUCCUUGAAUCCAAGAAGAUCUUUGGAGUUUGAUCUUCAAAGUUAGAGAGAGAAAGUUUGGUUUUGGGUGUAAGUUUGGACACGAGCAGAGCAAGGAAGUAAGUAACUCCGCUUUGACGGGAGUGUUUGAGUAAGGUCUUCAGACUAAGCGAGGAGCGAGAUUGGUCUGGUGCUGGCGGGGAAAUGUUGGAGGAUGUAUUUACUUUAUCGUAUUUCCAUUUUGACGAUAAAGUCUUGAUGAUUGAUAUACUUUAAUUUUCUUUUGAAGUUAAGCAAUGUACUCACGGUUAUAUGUCUUCAUACAUAUAAUCGGUUCGCCUUUUGCUGCGAUACUCUGCAUAUUAUGUUCCCUUACGAAAAAUGAGCGAUACCCGUUUUGUUUUUGUUCGUGAAAUUCCUGAUAAUUAAAAAGUUAUAACGACGUUGACGAUUUUACCCUUGGGUUC